rnacentral:rRNA from 1 species
UGUACACGCUGUGACUAGCAUAUCAAUAAGCGGAGGAAAAGAAACUAACAAGGAUUCCCCUAGUAACGGCGAGUGAAGCGGGAAGAGCUCAAAUUUGAAAUCUUAAAGGGUUUCCCUUUACGAAUUGUAGUUUAAAGAAGUGUUUUCUGUUGAGGUUUUGGUAAAAGUUCUUUGGAAUAGGACAUCAUAGAGGGUGAGAAUCCCGUAUUUGACCUUUACUUUCAACUUUGUGAUACACUUUCAAAGAGUCGGAUUGUUUGGGAAUGCAGUCCAAAAUGGGUGGUAAAUUUCAUCUAAAGCUAAAUAUUGGCGAGAGACCGAUAGCGAACAAGUACCGUGAGGGAAAGAUGAAAAGAACUUUGAAAAGAGAGUUAAACAGUACGUGAAAUUGUCAAAAGGGAAGCGUUUGACACCAGUGUUGUUUUUCUGAAAAUCAAUUAAAGAACUGUUUAUGCUAAGCUUGUUUAGACUUUAUCAGCUAUCUGUUUAGUUUUGAGCUUUUCUUUAAUGCACUUUUCAGUUAACAAGUCAACAUCAAUUUCUUUUGCUGUAAAAAAGGCUUGAGGAAGGUGGCUUGAGAUUCGUCUUAAGUGUUUAUAGCCUCUUGCCUAUGCAGUCGGAGAGAUUGAGGUCUGCAGCGUAGAUCCUUCGGGGCUAAAUGCAUUUGUGCUAAGUUAUAGCAUUUUAUAGACAACUUGUUGACUAUGAUUUGUCUUGUAGCUUACUCGCUUAUGUUAUUUUACCUACGCUUAGGAUGUUGAAGAUGUAGCACAUCAU